rnacentral:rRNA from 1 species
UACGUAGGGUCCGAGCGUUGUCCGGAAUUACUGGGCGUAAAGAGCUCGUAGGUGGUUUGUCGCGUUGUUCGUGAAAACUCACAGCUCAACUGUGGGCGUGCGGGCGAUACGGGCAGACUAGAGUACUGCAGGGGAGACUGGAAUUCCUGGUGUAGCGGUGAAAUGCGCAGAUAUCAGGAGGAACACCGGUGGCGAAGGCGGCUACCUGGACAGAGUCUGACGCUGAGGCACGAAAGCUAGGGGAGCAAACAGG